UACGGAGGAUGCGAGCGUUAUCCGGAUUUAUUGGGUUUAAAGGGUGCGUAGGCGGGCUUUUAAGUCAGCGGUAAAAAUUCGGGGCUCAACCCCGUCCGGCCGUUGAAACUGGGGGUCUUGAGUGGGCGAGAAGAAGGCGGAAUGCGAGGUGUAGCGGUGAAAUGCAUAGAUAUCACGCAGGACCCCGAUUGCGAAGGCAGCCUUCCGGCGCCCUACUGACGCUGAGGCACGAAAGUGCGGGGAUCGAACAGG
rnacentral:rRNA from 1 species